rnacentral:tRNA from 1 species
UAGAAAAACAGGACACGAACCUGCACCUGAGGACUCAAAACCCUACGUACUUCCAUUAUACUAUUUUCU